rnacentral:rRNA from 1 species
UACGUAGGGUGCGAGCGUUGUCCGGAAUUAUUGGGCGUAAAGAGCUCGUAGGCGGUGUGUCACGUCGGCCGUGAAAACCUGCAGCUUAACUGUGGGCGUGCGGUCGAUACGGGCAUCGCUGGAGUUCGGCAGGGGAGACUGGAAUUCCUGGUGUAGCGGUGAAAUGCGCAGAUAUCAGGAGGAACACCGGUGGCGAAGGCGGGUCUCUGGGCCGAUACUGACGCUGAGGAGCGAAAGCGUGGGGAGCGAACAGG